rnacentral:rRNA from 1 species
GAUGAACGCUGGCGGCGUGCCUAAUACAUGCAAGUCGAGCGAACAGACGAGGAUCUUGCUCCUCUGACGUUAGCGGCGGACGGGUGAGUAACACGUGGAUAACCUACCUAUAAGACUUGGAUAACUUCGGGAAACCGGAGCUAAUACCGGAUAAUAUAUUGAACCGCAUGGUUCAAUAGUGAAAGACGGUUUUGCUGUCACUUAUAGAUGUAUCCGCGCCGCAUUAGCUAGUUGGUAAGGUAACGGCUUACCAAGGCAACGAUGCGUAGCCGACCUGAGAGGGUGAUCGGCCACACUGGAACUGAGACACGGUCCAGACUCCUACGGGAGGCAGCAGUAGGGAAUCUUCCGCAAUGGGCGAAAGCCUGACGGAGCAACGCCGCGUGAGUGAUGAAGGUCUUCGGAUCGUAAAACUCUGUUAUUAGGGAAGAACAAAUGUGUAAGUAACUAUGCACGUCUUGACGGUACCUAAUCAGAAAGCCACGGCUAACUACGUG